ensembl:lncRNA
GAGACGCUAGAAUCUUCUUUCCCUCAUGAAUCUUCCUGCUAGACCUUCAGGAAGGCACCUCCACUUUGCAAGUCACUCUCUGGGGAGAAAGGAGUGGCUUCAAACAACACAGUGAAAAUGUGUGAAUGAAAGGAAAACACCAAACUUAACCUGAAAAGAGACUCCUGGACUCGCCAUCCCCAGCCUUUCCUUCAAGCCUCAAUCUCUAUCAAUAAUUGGAACAACAUCCUCCAGGCAUAUUGAAGACCACAAGAAGUGAGCUCUGCCCUGCAGGGUGCCACAGAGAAAGAGAGAGACCAACUCAAAGAAAGACCUACCGCAGGGGACACAGGUUAACUGUGGUGUAGUGAAUAAGAAUCCGCAUGCCAGUGCAGGGGACACAGGUUCAAUCCCUGGUCCAGGAAGAUCCCACAUGCCCAUGUGCCACAACUAUCGACAGCCCACGAGCCUCAACUAUUAAGCCCGUGCAUCCCAGCUACUGAAGCCUGUGAGCCUAGAGCCUGUCCACAACGAGAAGCCACGGUAAUGAGAAGCCCACACGCAGCAACUAGAGCAGCCCCUGCCCACCACUAGAGAAAGCCUGCGUGCAGUGAUGAAGACCCAGCACAAC